rnacentral:rRNA from 1 species
AUUGAACGCUGGCGGCAGGCCUAACACAUGCAAGUCGAGCGAGCGGCGGACGGGUGAGGAAUGUCUGGGAAACUGCCCGAUGGAGGGGGGGAACUACAGUAGACGGUAGCGAAAAUAGCACACCAUAAGAGGUGCCCAGAUGGGAUUUGCUCGUGGGUGGGGUAACGGCGCACCUAGGCGACGAUCCCUAGCUGGUCUGAGAGGAUGACCAGCCACACUGGAACUGAGACACGGUCCAGACUCCUACGGGAGGCAGCAGUGGGGAAUAUUGCACAAUGGGCGCAAGCCUGAUGCAGCCAUGCCGCGUGUGUGAAGAAGGCCUUCGGGUUGUAAAGCACUUUCAGCGGGGAGGCGUUACCCGCAGAAGAAGCACCGGCUAACUCCGUGCCAGCAGCCGCGGUAAUAC